rnacentral:rRNA from 1 species
CUACGGGGGGCUGCAGUGAGGAAUAUUGCACAAUGGGGGGAACCCUGAUGCAGCAAUGCCGCGUGGAGGAUGACGCAUUUCGGUGUGUAAACUCCUUUUAUAUGUCAAGAAAAUGACGGUAGCAUAUGAAUAAGCACCGGCUAACUCCGUGCCAGCAGCCGCGGUAGUACGGAGGGUGCAAGCGUUACUCGGAAUCACUGGGCGUAAAGGACGCGUAGGCGGGUUGGAAAGUCAGGUGUGAAAUCCUACAGCUUAACUGUAGAACUGCACUUGAAACUUCUAAUCUAGAGUAUGGGAGGGGGAGAUGGAAUUAGUGGUGUAGGGGUAAAAUCCGUAGAUAUCACUAGGAAUACCUAAAGCGAAGGCGAUCUCCUGGAACAUUACUGACGCUAAGGCGUGAAAGCGUGGGGAGCAAACAGGAUUAGAUACCCUCGUAGUC